GUACCUUCUCCGGCCUUUUGGCGAAGAUCAACUGUAGUAUCUUAUCGAUUCAUAUCUGUUUAAUAUGUGAUACGUGGUCCAUCGGACCUCACGACAUUAAAUUAAUUUCUCCGUUGGGGAGAGACCGCAACUCAAGAUAGCAAGUGGGUCCCUCGAGCAUCGCUCAUGCUUUGCACCACUGUAGGGGCCUGGCGCACCCCUA
rnacentral:snRNA from 1 species